rnacentral:ncRNA from 1 species
AGCCCGCCCCUGCCACUGACACCGCCAUGGCUGCCUGUGGGAGCUCUCUGAUUGCCACCACCAUGCCUCUGCCACUGCCACCACCUGCGUGGUUGCUGUGCUCCCCCAGCCUCCGGGUCUUCUCGGAGUCGGGUUGCUUGGGAAUGCAGCCCAAAGUGAGUGGUAAACUCCAUCUAAGGCUAAAUACCGGCACGACACUGAUAGUCAACAAGUACCGUAAGG